AAAGGAAUAGACGGGGGCCCGCACAAGCAGUGGAGCGUGUGGUUUAAUUCGACGCAACGCGCAGAACCUUACCAGGGCUUGACAUCAUACUGCCGUCUGUGGAAACACAGAUUUCCGUAGCAAUACGGACGGUAUGACAGGUGUUGCAUGGUUGUCGUCAGCUCGUGUCGUGAGAUGUUGGGUUAAGUCCCGCAACGAGCGCAACCCCUAUCCAGUGUUGCCAACAGUUCGGCUGGGGACUCACUGGAGACUGCCGGAGACGAUCCGGAGGAAGGUGGGGAUGAGGUCAAAUCAUCAUGGCCCUUAUGCCCUGGGCUACACACGCGCUACAAUGGCCGGUACAACGGGCAGCUAAGGAGCAAUCCGGAGCGAAUCCCAAAAAGCUGGCCUCAGUUGGAAUCGCAGGCUGCAACUCGCCUGCGUGAACACGGAAUUGCUAGUAAUCGCGAAUCAGCUACGUCGCGGUGAAUACGUUCCCGGGCCUUGUACACACCGCCCGU
rnacentral:rRNA from 1 species